rnacentral:misc_RNA from 1 species
GAAAUGCGAUAAGUAAUGUGAAUUGCAGAAUUCAGUGAAUCAUCGAAUCUUUGAACGCACCUUGCGCUCCUUGGUAUUCCUUGGAGCAUGCCUGUUUGAGUAUCAUGAAAUCUUCAAAGUAAAUCUUUUGUUAACUCAAUUGGUUUCUACUUUGGUAUUGGAGAUCUUUGCAGCUUCACACCUGCUCCUCUUUGUUCAUUAGCUGGAUCUCAGUGUUAUGCUUGGUUCCACUCGGCGUGAUAAGUUAUCUAUCGCUGAGGACACUGUAAAAGGUGGCCAAGGUAAAUGCAGAUGAACCGCUUCUAAUAGUCCAUUGACUUGGACAAUACUUUUAUGAUCUGAUCUCAAAUCAGGUAGGACUACCCGCUGAACUUAAGC